UUUUUCCUCUGGCCAGAAGGGAUUUAAAGGUGUUUACCCUUCCCUUUAUAUUUAUGAUAUCCCCCUACUUCUCCCUCUGGCAGUGUCCUGUUUUUGCAAGCUGGAGAGUCAGGUUCUGAUGGGUCCAGCAGCCCCUAGUGGUGGCCAGCAGCUCUGCAGCACCAAUUCUGCAGGGAAAAUGAAAUUCUGCACAAAACAUUAAUUCUGUGCAAAUUCUGCAUUGUGCAGUGGUGCAGAAUUCCUCCAGGAGUAGAUAAUGUCAUGAAGGGAGGAAACACUCACUUGUCUGACACCAGGCUUAAGGGCAUGAACAAGAAGGGUUUACAAAGCCUGAAUCUUUAUUGAAGCUUCUAUCUUCAACCUCUAGGUUUCUUAUUCCCAUUCUAUCUGACUCUGUUGUUUUUAAAGCAAUAAUACCUUAAAGCGAUAGAACUGUUCCCUGACAUCAUACCUCUUUGAAGCUAAAUAACUUCUGUUUUUAAACAUAAAUAACCUUUUGAGUUAAGCUGAACUUGUACUAACUAAAUAGUAAGUAGCCUCCAUUUUAGUAACCUCUGAAGAACACAUGGGGUUCCCAACUAGAGUCUUAAUCAAUGACUCUGUUCAUCUUAACCUGCUACAGCUUACCUAGCAAAUCAACCAUAAUGAUAUCUAUCAAUGUACCUCAGUUCAUUGGAUAUGUCUUAUGUGGUUUUCUUGCCAUAGCUGUUUCUGCAAUGGAACUUCUGGAUUCUCUAGGGGUUGGACAUUUCAUGACUAGCUUUGCCUUCCUCCUGAAGGCCUCUAUUCAGCACAACUCUUAAGCAUAUGCUUACCUUUAAACAUGUGCUUAAAUCCUACUGAAACCAAUAGGACUUAAGUGCUUGGUUUAACAGAAUCUGUGGCAUCACCCAUGAAACUGAUCCUGUGAAUUGGUAAUGUAAGUGCUCUGUCUUAGUCUGUUUUCCCAAAUAUGUAAUUAACUUUGCAUCUUAGUUUUCAUUUUAAACUUCUGUUUUCACUCAUAAUUUAUUCUAAAUGUUUCCCUUUAAGAUGAAAGUUUCCAGGCAUAGUCUCAACCAAAAGUAUAAAUUUUGGAAAGUUUGAAUGAAAUCUUCCAGGUUUUUUUUUUUCUCGAGAGGAGGAAAAAAAAAAUCUAUAUAUCAACUUUCAGUUUUUUAAAAUUACUUUUAGUGCAUGGCCAACUUAAAUGGCUGAACUUUGAAACUUCCAGCCUCAGAGGUGUCUAGACCUCAAUGAGGAAUAGUUUUUGGUGCACAUUUUUUAAAGAAUUUUAAAAACUAGUUAUAAGUGACUAAAGGUUCAAUUGUGCACUGUUUAGUCACAUGGUGAGUUGUUACAUGAGUACAGUACUCUCAUUGUAGUCAAUGGGUCUCUAUGGUAUCUCAAUUAGAUUUCAGUGGGACUUCUUGUGUGAGUGAUUCUCCAUCCAAUCUGAGUAAGGGCUCACAGUCUGGCUUUAAAUAUUUGUUUUACACAUGUGCAGUUCAGGAUUUCUUAUUGUCUGUUCAGUAAUUGAUUAUGACCCUAUGGAAUUUGCUUCUACUGUACAACUCCAUAGUGCUAUAACUAGAGUUUUUGCAUAUUUACAGUUUGGUACAGUUUAAAACAUAUGGAGCCAGGCAAUACACAAUUACACAACUGUACUAACACUGUCAGGGUCUUCUCUUUUUCUUUGUACUCUUCAAAAAGGCAAUUAAAUAUCAAAACCUAUGUGAAUGCAGAAUCAUGGUUGCAAAUUUGAACAAAAAACACCAGAAAAUGCAAAUAUAAAGAUUCCAAUAAUAAUAAUAAUAAAUUCGAUCAUGUGUUACAUAGUGAGCCAGAUCCUCUGAUAAAUCACUGAAGUCAGCAAAGCAAUGCCAAGGAUUUGGCCAGUAUAUUGUAAAUUGAAAAUGCAGCAUUCUAAACAAAAACUAUAUAACAUGCCAACAUAGGAAUGCUAGCAGCAUGGUCAGUAGUACAUAAGGUAAAGAGGAAGGAGGAAACUGAACUUCUGUCAUAUCUGAAUAAUAAUAAUAAACAAUGGUUAAAUCCCAGAAUCCUUGCACACUCAAAACUUUCACUGAAGUCACUUGGCGUUUUCUUUGUGUAUAGAGGGCAGGAUUGUGCUCCUAAUCUGGGAGUGUAAUGAUAAAAUAGAGCGAAUGUUAACACUGUUUUUCAUUGUUCAGAAGUCAUUACUACUGAUUGUGACUAUUCCAAAGCAUAUGAAUUAAACAGAGAUUUAUGAUGAA